AUUGAACGCUGGCGGCAGGCCUAACACAUGCAAGUCGAACGGUAACAGGAAACAGCUUGCUGUUUCGCUGACGAGUGGCGGACGGGUGGGUCAUGUCUGGGAAACUGCCUGAUGGAGGGGGAUAACUACUGGAAACGGUAGCUAAUACCGCAUAACGUCUCAAGACCAAAGAGGGGGACCUUCGGGCCUCUUGCCAUCAGAUGUGCCCAGAUGGGAUUAGCUAGUAGGUGGGGUAACGGCUCACCUAGGCGCCGAUCCCUAGCUGGUCUGAGAGGAUGACCGGCCACACUGGAACUGAGACACGGUCCAGACUCCUACGGGAGGCAGCAGUGGGGAAUAUUGCACAAAGGGCGCAAGCCUGAUGCAGCCAUGCCGCGUGUAUGAAGAAGGCCUUCGGGUUGUAAAGUACUUUCAGCGGGGAGGAAGGGAGUAAAGUUAAUACCUUUGCUCAUUGACGUUACCCGCAGAAGAAGCACCGGCUAACUCCGUG
rnacentral:rRNA from 1 species